rnacentral:rRNA from 1 species
UGAGGAACAUGACUUUCGGCGGGGGAUAGCCGGCCCAACGGCCGGGUAAUACCGCGUACGACCUUUUGGGGACAUCCCCGAUUGGUGAAAGCAGCAAUGCGCCGAAAGAGUGCCACGCGGCCUAUCAGCUAGUUGGUGUGGGUAACGGCCCACUAAGGCGACGACGGGUAGCCGGCCUGAGAGGGUGACCGGCCACACUGGGACUGAGACACGGCCCAGACUCCUACGGGAGGCAG